GACGAACGCUGGCGGCGUGCCUAACACAUGCAAGUCGAACGGAAAGGCCGUGCUUUUUUGCGCUGCUCGAGUGGCGGAGGGGUGAGUAACACGUGAGUAACGUGCACUUGACUUUGGGAUGAGUUAAGGCAAGUGGGGCUAAUCCCGGAUAGGAGCUCCCGCUGCAUGGUGGGCGUUGGAUAGUUUCGGCGGUUGGGGAUGGACUGGCGGCUUAUCGGCUUGUUGGUGGGGUAGUGGCUUACCAAGGCUUUGACGGGUAGCCGACCUGGGAGGGGGACCGGCCACAUUAGGACUGAGAUACGGCCCAGACUAGAAUGGUAGGCAACGGUGGAGAGGGUUAUACAGUGGGAGGGAGCCUGAUGCGACAACGCCGCGGGGGGGAAGACGUGCUGGGGGUAGUGAACCGCAGCCGCUUGAGACGAAGCGUGAGUGACGGUACCGGGAGAAUAAGCACCGGCUAACUACGUG
rnacentral:rRNA from 1 species